rnacentral:lncRNA from 1 species
UUAUGACCUGAGGGGUCGUUAGGAGCUGAUUGAGAUCUGAUAAUUGGGGGCUGAGGGGUCCUUGUUAUGAGAUAUGGGGUCAUCGGGAGCUCAGGGGUCGUUAGGAGAUAAUUGGGAGUUAAUUGGGGUCUGAGGGGAUAUUGUUAUGAGAUAUGGGGUCGUUAUGAGCUAAUUGGGAGCUAAUUGGGGGCUGAGGGGAUAUUGUUAUGAGAUAUGGGGUCGUAAUGAGCUAAUUGGGAGAUGAGGGGUCGUUAUGAGCUAAUUGGGAGCUGAUUGGGGUCUGAGGGGAUAUUGUAAUGAGAUAUGGGGUCAUUAUGAGCUAAUUGGGAGCUGAGGGGUCGUUAUGAGUUAAUUGGGAGCUGAUUGGGGGCUGAGGGGAUAUUGUUAUGAGAUAUGGGGUCUUUGGCGACCUUCGGAAUUGGAUUUGACCACCCAAAAUGGCGACAUUUAGCCCCAAAAUGGCGACCUUCGGCAUUGGGUUUGGCCACCCAAAAUGGAGACAUUUAGCCCCAAAAUGGCGACCUUCGGUGUUGGAUGUUGGGUUUGGCCACCCAAAAUGGAGACAUUUAGCCCCAAAAUGGCGACCUNNNNNNNNNNNNNNNNNNNNNNNNNUCGGCGCAUGGAUGUUGGGUUUGGCCACCCAAAAUGGUGAUAUUUACCCCAAAAUGCGCACAACCUUCGGGUGUUGGAUGUUGGCUGGCCCACCCAAAAUGGAGACAUCUGUAGACCCAACAAAAAUGGCGACUUCGGCUGUUGGUUGUUGGGUUUGACCACCCAAAAUG